AUUGAACGCUCGCGGGAUGCCUUACACAUGCACGUCGAACGUAUUUGCGAACGGGUGCGUAAUGUAUCGGACCGUGCCCAGUCGCGGGGGAUAACUACGCGAAAGCGUAGCUAAUACCGCCUACUAUUGGAGCGGCCGCUAUCGGAUUGGCUAGUUGGUGGGGUAACGGCUCACCAAGGCGACGAUCCGUAGCUGGUUUGAGGGGACGGCCAGCCACACUGGGACUGAGACACGGCCCAGACUCCUACGGGAGGCAGCAGUGGGGAAUGUUGGACAAGGGGGGAAACCCUGAUCCAGCCAUCCCGCGUGUGCGAUGAAGGCCUUCGGGUUGUAAAGCACUUUUGGCAGGAAAGCGGUACCUGCAGAAUAAGCACCGGCUAACUACGUGCCAGCAGCCGCGGUAAUUC
rnacentral:rRNA from 1 species